rnacentral:tRNA from 1 species
CAGGGGUUAUUUUAUUAAAAUACUAGCUUUGGAUGUUUGAGAUAAGAAAAGGUUCUUACCCCUGA